GGGACCUGCACAGAUUCUUUGCUCCUUGCUCACCCCAAGCCUGUACUCUUGGGAAGUUCCUAUCAUUGUUCUAUCCACUGCUUUCUCCAUGCAUUAGGCGUUCCCUGUAAAAUCUAGUAUUGUCUUUUUGUUAUGUGCUCUGCCCUGUGUUUCAUCCCUACUACCUGCUCUUUGCAGCUCCCCUAUCAGCUGUGAAUCCUCUGUCAUCAAUAAUCCACUACUUUAACUGGCUUAGAGUUUCCUUCUUUCUCUCUCCCUGUCCCGGUCAGAUGCCAGAUUAGAGCCAGCAGAAGCCUGCUACUAUCCCUGUUGUAUGCAUUAAUCUUCUUACAAGUGUGGUCUGUUCUGUAUUUAACCUCUCCGCUCUGCAUAGCCAGGUUUAUCUGAAAUUGCUCAAGCCACUAAUCCCAGACUACCACUCGGUCUGUUCUUCUCCCAACAAGCAUUGAUGCUGUAGGGAUUUGAAUGAUUUGUUUGGUGCUGUGAAGCCAAAAUCCAUCAGGGUGAUUCAAAUUCACCAGCAAGAUAUGUAAUAGACCAUCUCUCCCCAUAUGGAGUAUAUCUCCUUCUAGUCAUGAUGGCAUCUGAUCCCUGUGGUAACUGUGAUAAAGCAAUUAUUAUCACAGGUAAAGAGCAGUUGGAAAGUAUUUGGUGUGUUUCUCUUACUGCAAUUUAACAGCUGGAGACAAGCGAGGGGAGUGGGAACUCAUCUCUCUGCAGUUUCAGCAGCAGUGACCAGUGGAGCACAAUUUGGAAGUUGUCCUUCUGAGCACCUAGAGCAGGACAGACGCCAACAAAGUCAGUGGAAAAGCAGUCAUUCAGACUUUGUCAGGGUUUGAGUCAGAUCCCUGGCUUCAGCAGCGAAGAUUUGUAUUUAUGUAGUUUGCUACAUCACAAUAUGGUGUCUCAAAAUGUCUGCUACCACUCACUUUUAAAGCGUACAUAUAGCACAUACAGUCUUGUCACAGCUGACACCUUUUUUUGAUUUUGCUACGUGAGAGUACUCUGUUGCUGAUGAAUCAAGCUGUUUUCAAGAUUAGU